AGUGAACGCUGGCGGUAGGCCUAACACGUGCAAGUCGAACGGCAGCACAGAGGAGCUUGUUCCUUGGGUGGCGAGUGGCGGACGGGUGAGGAAUACAUCGGAAUCUACUCUGUCGUGGGGGAUAACGUAGGGAAACUUACGUUAAUACCGCAUACGACCUACGGGUGAAAGCAGGGGAUCUUCGGACCUUGCGCGAUUGAAUGAGCUGAUGUCGGAUCAACUAGUUGACGGAGUAAAGGCCCACUAAGGCGACGCUCCGUAGCGGGUCUGAGAGGAUGAUCAGCCACACUAGAACUGAGACACGGUCCAGACUCCUACGGGAGGCAGCAGGGGGGAAUAUUGGACAAUGGGCGCAAGCCUGAUCCAGCCAUACCGCGUGGGUGAAGAAGGCCUUCGGGUUGUAAAGCCCUUUGGUUGGGAAAGAAAUCCAUCUGGUUAAUACCCGGGUGGGAUGACGGUACCCAAAGAAUAAGCACCGGCUAACUUCGUGCCAGCCGCCGCCGUAA
rnacentral:rRNA from 1 species